rnacentral:rRNA from 1 species
GGGCCCGCGGUGCAUUAGCUAGUUGGUGAGGUAACGGCUCACCAAGGCAACGAUGCAUAGCCGACCUGAGAGGGUGAUCGGCCACACUGGGACUGAGACACGGCCCAGACUCCUACGGGAGGCAGCAGUAGGGAAUCUUCCGCAAUGGACGAAAGUCUGACGGAGCAACGCCCCGUGAGUGAUGAAGGCUUUCGGGUCGUAAAACUCUGUUGUUAGGGAAGAACAAGUACGAGAGUAACUGCUCGUACCUUGACGGUACCUAACCAGAAAGCCACGGCUAACUACGUGCCAGCAGCCGCGGUAAUACGUAGGUGGCAAGCGUUAUCCGGAAUUAUUGGGCGUAAAGCGCGCGCAGGCGGUUUUCUUAAGUCUGAUGUGAAAGCCCACGGCUCAACCCGUGGAGGGUCAUUGGAAACUGGGGAAACUUGAGUGCAGAAGAGAAAAGCGGAAUUUCCACGUGUAGCGGUGAAAUGCGUAGAGAUGUGGAGGAACACCAGUGGCGAAAGGCGGCUUUUUGGUCUGUAACUGACGCUGAAGGCGCGAAAGCGUGGGGGAGCAAACAGGAUUAGAUACCCUUGGUAGUCCACGCCGUAAACGAUGAGUGCUAAGUGUUAGAGGGUUUCCGCCCUUUAGUGCUGCAGCUAACGCAUUAAGCACUCCGCCUGGGGAGUACGGUCGCAAGACUGAAACUCAAAGGAAUUGACGGGGGCCCGCACAAGCGGUGGAGCAUGUGGUUUAAUUCGAAGCAACGCGAAGAACCUUACCAGGUCUUGACAUCCUCUGACAACUCUAGAGAUAGAGCGUUCCCCUUCGGGGGACAGAGUGACAGGUGGUGCAUGGUUGUCGUCAGCUCGUGUCGUGAGAUGUUGGGUUAAGUCCCGCAACGAGCGCAACCCUUGAUCUUAGUUGCCAGCAUUUAGUUGGGCACUCUAAGGUGACUGCCGGUGACAAACCGGAGGAAGGUGGGGAGACGUCAAAUCAUCAGCCCCUUAUGCCUGGUACACACGUGGGCAAUGAUGUACAAAGGGCUGCAAGACCGGGAGGUCAAGCCAAUCCCAUAAAACCAUGUCAGUUCGGAUUGUAGGGUGCAACUCGCCUACAUGAAGCGGGAAUCGCUAGUAAUCGCGGAUCAGCAGGGCGCGGAGAAUAUGUUCCCCGGCCUGGACAC